CCGACGCCAGUGCCGGAGAAGAAGGAUUCGGAGCAAGUGCGGGUGAGAGCAGAGUCGAGGAAAAAUAUACAGAAAAUAAAAAAAAUAAAAAAAAGAAUAAAAUAUAAAGAAAAAUAGUUAUUUUUACAAGAAAAAUAAAGAACUAUAGAGAAAAGGAAUAGAUGAUAAAUUUGAACUGUUUAAGGGGAUUGUUGUACUGUUUCAGAAAAAUGUUGCAUUAUUUUUGAGAAAAUUUAUCCUCUUUGAGAGAAAAAUAUAUUUUUUUUGUAUGAAAAUUAUACUCUUUGAACGAGAAUUGCACUAUUUGAUCAAAAAUUACACUAUUUGGCCAGAAAGAGAAGGAUGAGAAAUAGUAUAAUUUUUGCUCAAAUAGUAUAAUUUUCGUUCAAAGUGUACAACUUUCGUUCAAAAAGUGCAACUUUUAUGUAAAAAUAUAUAUUUUUCUCUCAAAAAAUGUAAUUUUUUUCUAAAACAGUGCAACGUUCUUCUAAAACAGUGUAAUAUUUUUCUAAAACAGUGUAAUAUUCUCUUGAAACAGUGCAAAUUUAUCUUCUUCUUUUCUCUUUGGUUCUUCAUUUUUCUUGUAGAGUAACUAUUUUCCUUUAUAUUUUACGGUUUAUUCUUUUUAUUUUUUAUUUUUUUGCAUAUUUUUUCCUCGGCUCUACUCUCACCUGCACGCGCUUCAAGUUUUCCUUUUCCGGCAUU
rnacentral:lncRNA from 1 species